rnacentral:rRNA from 1 species
AACGAACGCUGGCGGCGCGCUUAACACAUGCAAGUCGAACGAAGUACCCGUUUUCGGAUGGACUACUUAGUGGCGCACGGGUGAGUAACGCGUGGGAAUCUGCCCUUUGCUACGGAACAACCACGGGAAACUGUGGCUAAUACCGUAUAAUGCAACUUGUUGCCAAAGAUUUAUCGGCGAAGGAGGAGCCCGCGUCAGAUUAGCUUGUUGGUGGGGUAACGGCCUACCAAGGCUCUGAUCUGUAGCUGGUCUGAGAGGACGAUCAGCCACACUGGGACUGAGACACGGCCCAGACUCCUACGGGAGGCAGCAGUGGGAAUCUUGGACAAUGGGGGCAACCCUGAUCCAGCGACGCCGCGUGGGUGAUGAAGGCCUUAGGGUUGUAAACCCCUUUCACCGGGGAGGAUGAUGACGUUACCCGGAGAAGAAGCACCGGCUAAACUCCGUGCCAGCCGCCGCGGUAAU